ACGUGUUGCCCACUGCUAUAAA
rnacentral:miRNA from 1 species